AGUAUGAUGUGCUUAAUACUAAAAUUGGAACGAUACAGAGAAGAUUAGCAUGGCCCCUGCACAAGGAUGAUUUUUUUUUCAAAUUCAUGAAGCGUUCCAUAUUUUU